UGAGCAAUCUGCCCUUCUCAUCGGAAUAAGCGUUGGAAACGACGUCUAAUGCCGAAUACGACCUCCUUUCGCAUGAUCGGAGGUGGAAAGCUCCGGCGGAGAAGGAUGAGCUCGCGGCCUAUCAGCUAGUUGGUGUGGGUAAUGGCCCACCAAGGCGACGACGGGUAGCCGGCCUGAGAGGGUGACCGGCCACACUGGGACUGAGACACGGCCCAGACUCCGUACGGGAGC
rnacentral:rRNA from 1 species